UACGAAGGGUGCAAGCGUUAAUCGGAAUUACUGGGCGUAAAGCGUGCGCAGGCGGUUUUGUAAGACCGGUGUGAAAUCCCCGGGCUCAACCUGGGAACUGCAUUGGUGACUGCAAGGCUUGAGUGUGUCAGAGGGAGGUGGAAUUCCGCGUGUAGCAGUGAAAUGCGUAGAUAUGCGGAGGAACACCGAUGGCGAAGGCAGCCUCCUGGGAUAACACUGACGCUCAUGCACGAAAGCGUGGGGAGCAAACAGG
rnacentral:rRNA from 1 species